GACGAACGCUGGCGGCGUGCUUAACACAUGCAAGUCGAGCGGAAAGGCUCCUUCGGGGGUACUCGAGCGGCGAACGGGUGAGUAACACGUGAGUAAUCUGCCCUUGGCUUUGGGAUAACCACCGGAAACGGUGAUUAAUACCGGAUAUGACGCUCUGCCGCAUGGUGGGGUGUGGAAAGUUUCUUCGGCCAGGGAUGUGCUCGCGGCCUAUCAGCUUGAUGGGGGGGUAAUGGCCUACCAUGGCUUCGACGGGUAGCCGGCCUGAGAGGGUGACCGGCCACACUGGGACUGAGACACGGCCCAGACUCCUACGGGAGGCAGCAGUGGGGAAUAUUGGACAAUGGGCGGAAGCCUGAUCCAGCAACGCCGCGUGAGGGAUGACGGCCUUCGGGUUGUAAACCUCUUUCAGCACAGACGAAGCGCAAGUGACGGUAUGUGCAGAAGAAGGACCGGCCAACUACGUGCCAGCAGCCGCCGUAACAC
rnacentral:rRNA from 1 species